rnacentral:tRNA from 1 species
UAUCUGAUGGCCGAUAAAGGCGUGAGUCUUUUAAACUCAUUAUAGAUAUUCUUCAGAUUA